rnacentral:rRNA from 1 species
UACGUAGGGUGCGAGCGUUAAUCGGAAUUACUGGGCGUAAAGCGUGCGCAGGCGGUUUUGUAAGACAGGUGUGAAAUCCCCGGGCUUAACCUGGGAACUGCGCUUGUGACUGCAAGACUCGAGUACGGCAGAGGGGGGUGGAAUUCCACGUGUAGCAGUGAAAUGCGUAGAGAUGUGGAGGAACACCGAUGGCGAAGGCAGCCCCCUGGGUCGAUACUGACGCUCGUGCACGAAAGCGUGGGGAGCAAACAGG